GGGAUAAGUGCUGAAAGCAUCUAAGCAUGAAGCCCCCCUCAAGAUGAGAUUUCCCAUUCCGCAAGGAAGUAAGAUCCCUGAAAGAUGAUCAGGUUGAUAGGUCUGAGGUGGAAGCGUGGUGACACGUGGAGCUGACAGAUACUAAUAGAUCGAGGACUUAACCUA
rnacentral:rRNA from 1 species